CAAAGUCGAAGUGGCAGAAAGUUUGACCUGUGCUGGGAGAUUUUUCUCUAACCCGUUGGGUGGACUCGUCACCACGGCUUCCUGGCGACCUGCACGCGGAUCCCACUCGUUUUUAUUUUUGUCUUGAUACGGACCAAAGUCCACUGUGGUCGGCAGGAGGAAUUCCUCAGACUAGUGACCCUUGACUCUGGAAAGGUGUCUCUCCUGGUAACUUGGGUGGUCAGAACUGGGCAGGUUCUGUGGACCUCAGAGCCCCAUUUGAUGAGCUGGACAGUGGGGGCAGACAGCACGGUAGGCGAGCAGCUGCGCCUGGAACAGACGUCACAGAGGGAGGCAGGGGUGCCCGUCCCCUUUGUGACCCAAGCUCACAACAAGCUGACCGCUCUUUUCUUUUGAGAUAGGUCUGGCCGUGUGGCCCUUGGAAUUCAAAAUUUCCAGAGAGAAAAGAUGCUAAAAUUAAAAAAUGACUUCUGAGCAUCGAGCUGUGAUCUAGAGAUGAGGGUGACAUGGUGGCUGAGACCUCAGGAAGAGGAAAGGAUGAGUGAUUCUCUCGCAGGUCCAGGUACUGAGGCCUGGGUGUGCCUCCCAGAUGACCCAGUGACCGCGGCCCCUCCAGGAUCCCCGGGGCAGGCCCUCAGCCUCCCCGCAAGCGGCCAGAUGGGAAAAAGCUCAACCCGGAGAGAUCAUGGGUGGAACUUUCCUGGGAUGAAGUGAGCCUCAGGGAGACCCACAGGCUCCUGAGAAAAGCUGCCAGGCAGCCUUCAGGGACAUGCAGAAAAGGGGGCAGUGGGUCCCCCACGUCCUACUGACCAGACGCAGAUGGCCUUCCAUGAAAAAGGACGGACAGCUCAGAGGACAGGAUGGAGACCCAGAGAGCAAAGCCCAGAGCCAUGGAGAAUCCUUCCCAGACCUUGGGGUCCAGGCAGGGCACUUUAUUGUCUCCCGCUGGUCUCAGGUGGCCUGGGACCGGGGCCCCACCGUGCCCCCUGUUUCUCCUCUGAACAGCAAUGCCCAUCUCGAUGCCCUGCCCUAAGGUAGAAAAGGCCACUGUCAGGACAGCAGUCAGGGCGUGGCCAUCUGGGCUCUGGGGAGAUGACCCCCUCCAAGUUCGCCCACGUGGGUGUGGGCAGCUCACCGUGUGGCGGAGGUUCCAUCAGGGCACAUGGGCAGGGGGGUGGGAGCCAGCGGGAUCCCAGCCCUUUGCUCUUGGAGAGGUAAAAUCCACGUGUGAUCCAUCACCUCCCAGUUGUAGCUCAUGGGCACACAGGCAUUCACCGCUCUAGAUUUGAAACCUUUCCAUCACCCCCAAGAACGCUCAGUCCUGCUAAGUGGUCACCCCCAACCCCUCUCCCCCAGCCCCUGGGCCAGCACCAGUUUCUCUCCGCCUGCGGAUCAGCCCGUGCUAGCCCCUCACCUUCCAGAGGAAUCCCAACAUAUGUGUGUGCCUCUUCGCUCUGCGUCCUGUUUUCAAGAUCCCUCCACAUGGCAGCGUGAGCCAGUCCUUCGCUCUUCAUUACUUUUUAAGACAUGAACCUUAUUUUUUAGAGUUGUUUUAAGUUCACAGAAAAAUUCCA
rnacentral:lncRNA from 1 species